UUCCCAGUGCUGAGAUGGAUUUCAAGAGC
rnacentral:piRNA from 1 species